UUCAGGUNAAAGACAGUUAGGCAACUGAAAAUCAUCAGACCUUUAUURUAGKGGUAAAAUGYAAAUAUYAUUGGUUAUACCAAGCAUGAUUAUUUUAAAUGCUGAAUCUGUGACGACUUUAAGGGAAACUGGGAUUGGAUACCCCAUUAUUUUUAGUAGUAAAUUUAAUUUAAGUUUACCAGAGUACUACGAAUAAAAAAUUUAAAACUCAAAGAGCUUGGCGGUGUUUUAGACCUCUCAGGGGAACCUGUCUCGUAAUCGACAAUCCACGUUAUACCCGACCCUUUAUGGCAAUUCAGUCUGUAUACCGUUGUCGUCAGUCAACUUCUUAAAAUAUAGUAGUUAGCUUGAGAAUUUUAUUAAUUAAUACGUCAGAUCAAGGUGCAGCUAAUAAAAGGGAGAGGAUGGGUUACAAUUAUAUAUUUGUAAUUACGAAAGAUAUUUUAAAAGAGAUAUUCAAAAGGAGGACUUGAAAGUAAUUUUGAUUAGAUAAACAAAAUGAAUAAGGCUCUGAAACGUG
rnacentral:rRNA from 1 species